CGCGAGAUCGCGGCCUUUUUCGAAAAGUACUCGUUACGAACGAAAAAGCGCAUCGACGCUCAGAGAUUUGCGAAGGUUUUAACACUGAUGGAAGAUGGCCGGCACCUGACAAAUGAAGGCUUGAGGGAGAUCGAAGAUAUCGCGCUUUCGAUGAAUACCGGCAAUCGUCCGCGAUUGCAGGCAUUAUUGGAUGAAGAUAGAGUCCACUCCGGCGUGAAAGCGUCGGAAGAAAAGUGAGCGAAAUUCCUUGUCGGGUAAGUUCCGACCUGCACGAAUGGAGUAACGACUUGGGCGCUGUCUCGAUGGGGGGCCCGGCGAAAUUGCAGUACCAGUGAAGAUGCUGGUUACCCGCAGCAGGACGGAAAGACCCCGUGAAGCUUUACUGUAUCCUGAUCUUGGGUUCUGAGACUGUCCGUACAGGAUAGGUGGGAGUCGAUGAGACGAGGGCGCUAGCUUUCGUGGAGACAACGUUGGGAUACCACCCUGAUAGUCUUGGGAUUCUAACCGGCCACCGUUAUCCGGUGGCGGGACAGGGUCAGGUGGGCAGUUUGACUGGGGCGGUCGCCUCCUAAAGAGUAACGGAGGCGCCCAAAGGUUCCCUCAGAACGGUCAGAAACCGUUCUCACAGAGUGCAUAGGCAUAAGGGAGCUUGACUGCGAGACGGACAGGUCGAGCAGGUGCGAAAGCAGGGCUAAGUGAUCCGGCGGUACCGAAUGGAAGGGCCGUCGCUUAUCGGAUAAAAGCUACUCCGGGGAUAACAGGCUUAUCUCCCCCAAGAGUUCACAUCGACGGGGAGGUUUGGCACCUCGAUGUCGGAUCGUCGCAUCCUGGGGCUGUAGUAGGUCCCAAGGGUUGGGCUGUUCGCCCAUUAAAGCGGUACGCGAUCUGGGUUCAGAACGUCGUGAGACAGUUCGGUCCCUAUCCGCUGUGGGCGUAGGAGAUUUGAGGAGCGUGGACUCUAGUACGAGAGGACCGAGUCGAACGAACCGCUGGUGAACCGGUUGUUCCGCCAGGAGCAUGGCCGGGUAGCUACGUUCGGAUCAGAUAAACGCUGAAAGCAUAUAAGCGUGAAACUGACUCCAAGAUGAGAUCUCAAUCCCGUAAGGGUGAAGAGCCGUGGGAGACUACCACGUUGAUAGGCCGGGGGUGGAAGCACCGUAAGGUGUGGAGCUGACCGGUACUAAUAGCUCGGAAAUUUUUUAC
rnacentral:rRNA from 1 species